CUUCAUUUUUAUUAUUCAGUCCAUUAUUCUCCGAUCCACUCUCCUCUUUUAAAACUCUUCCUCUCUAAAUUGGCGUCAAAGCGACGCCGGUUCAUUGGCGCCAAUUGCGACGGCGGAAUGCUGGAAAAUCACGGCAAAUUCUUGGCCAGAUUCUUUGGGAUAAGAUAUACACAGAAGCAUGGUAUACAGAAUCAAAAGAGUACGAUUAUCGUUCUGAGUUGAUUUGCUCAGAUGUUCAUAAGACUUUACACUCCUGUCCAAGAGGGGAAAUGGGAUUUUCCUCUGCAAGACAGUAAUAGAUGAAACCUGGUCCAACUGCAACCCAUUGGGCCAUAGGCUCCCAUGGUCAGUCUUUUCCUUUUCUGGCAUGUACUCUCCUGCGAAGACAUGUUAGGGAGGGCUGGAAUAUUUGCAGAAGACGGUUCCACUGAGAUUCGAACUCGGGCUAUUGGAUUUAGAGUCCAAUGAUUUAACCACCAGACCAUGGAACUCCUUCAAGGCUAACUUUAUAUUAGAAGUAAAAUCUGGGAGAAUAUCGUAUAAUCUGGCUACAUCUGGAACAGUGAAGCUGAAGACUAUAACAUUCAAUGAUAAGGAGAACUUAGGGUCGGGAAUUUUAUCUGUCGUAUAUGAUGGUGGCCCGUGGCCCCGAAGAGAUGAUAGGGAGAGAGAUAUUGGCUGUUUGAAGACUAAGUGGUCACUGGUCAGAGUCUACCUCUGUUGCAUUCAUGGUGUAUGCAUCACUGUGAUACAUGAUCAUAUUUGUGGGUCAAUUGAAGCAGGUUCAGCUUAGUUCUAAGAAGUCCUACCCUGGACACACUUACACAGGGCGAUCUAGGUGAAUUGUCCCCCUUCAUCAUAUAAAGGUAUGCACUCGCAUUAUAAAAGGCAAAAAGAGGCAAUAUAUAUGAAGUAAGCCCAUUCUCAAAUCUAAAUUGCUUGGGAAAUCUACUGCCUGAUGGAGUGAUGGAUAAAAAAUCUUGAUUUUAACAUAUACUUCGUAUGUAGUACCCCUUGGCAUUUUACUUGCGAUUUGUUUUGGACCUAUGAAUGAACUAAAAAAACUGAGGUACUUCGUAAGUAUUAUUCAUGUAUCUUCUUCCUUUUUAACAUAAAAAUACCUUUAAAAUAUAGUGCAAAUAUUCUUUAAGUAAUUAAGAUAAAACUUUGGAGCAGAAUAUUGAAUGUUAAUAGGAUGAUUGUCAUAUGGACGAUGUUACUGAUGAGGUCUUGAGCAAGCAGUCACUACAUCUUCCCAAGGUCAUUAAUCAACGCUCUAUAGGCUUCUGAAAGAGGUAAUCUGGUGAUUUAGAUUUUCCCCUGUUAGGCAACUAUCUGAAGGAUUCUUUAGCUAUAUGAAGGAGAAAGAUUGGUCUUUAAAGCCCUUUAGAUCUGUCACAGUCAGAGCUGGUUCACUGCAGCUUCAUGUUUUAUGAUUGUAUAUUGAUUUUAUAUGAUAAAAUCCUAACUUCUUAUGGCUCAAUUGGUCUCAAUGUCAGUAGAAUGGUUGCUGUCGUGGUGGUCCUUUCAUAGCAAUAUCCAUAGAAUCAUGUCAUGUAGAGAUAACAAAUUUAUGGGUUAACGUCUUUGUGAUACAAUGAACAAGACAGCGGUAGCUCCAAAUUCUCCAAAGAUGUGAGAACUGAGGCUGCGACAUACUACAUGAAUAUGCUCGUGAAGGAUUUACUGCUGCUUUAUUUUGUAAUUUUCUCCCAACACGUAGCUAGCAUUUGUGUGCUUACAUUUGUUGUUUGCUUUACAGGUCGUAGCUGAUAAAGUUGAUUGUCUGUACUUUCUCCUCAUCAAGCGAGUGUCCAGUUUCAUUGAUAUGGUACAUACUCCCUCUCUGUUGGGGGCUAGUUGUCGCAUAAUCCUACUCACAUAGACAGGUAAAGAUUUACGAAGUUCACUAAGAUAAUUAGUUUAUGUUGUUUCAACUUCUCUUCACCUCUCUGUAGACGAAAGUGUAAAAAUUCUUCCCGAACAUUCUAAAAUAGUAUUCUGUAAUAUUACAUAUUGACUUAUUUAUGAAAGAACAGGGGACAAUAUAUCAUCUGGUACCUCAAAUUUUACCCA